UGGGGAAUUUUCCGCAAUGGGCGAAAGCCUGACGGAGCAAUGCCGCGUGGAGGUGGAAGGCCUACGGGUCGUCAACUUCUUUUCUCGGAGAAGAAACAAUGGCGGUAUCUGAGGAAUAAGCAUCGGCUAACUCUGUGGCAG
rnacentral:rRNA from 1 species